UCAUUUACUUUUAAUGCACUUUAAUUUUUAAGCCUUAUUCAUUUGCCAUUAUUCAUGUCAUUCAAGUUGUUUAUAUUAAUGUCAUUUUCACUUUGUCCACUUGGAUCAUAUUUUAUGAUAUAUUGUGAUUGUAUUAUUGUGAUUGUUUGUGUGGUCUUUUGACCUUAAUGUACAUAAUAAGAACAAAAAAUCUAAAAAACAUCUUGUGUGGACUGUUGAUUUGAUCUGAAACUAUUGGACUUAGAAUUUAGGCAACACUCCCUUCGCAAAGGACUUGGUCAAUGUCAACUUUCAUGAAACCAAGUGCUUGUGAAUUGAAACUUCAUCUGAUACAUCAUUAAAGAUCCAUUUGAGUUCAUCUGCAACAUGAUCAUUGUGAAACUGUUAUUUUGAACUUGUGACUUAUGCCAUCUUGGAAGUCAUCUGCUACAUGGGCAAAACAUGAAGAAUAUCAUGGAGUUGUUAAAGCUUGGAUGUGACUAUCUUUAUUUGAUGUCUUGCUCUUCAACUUGCUAUUUGUGUAUUGUUUGUUUCUUGAUUCCAAAGUCCAAGGGAAAUUUGGGUUUCUAUAUGACAUUUUUGUCUAUUGGAUUGCAGCCCAUUGGUCAGAUCUUUUCAACUCUUAACUUUUAAAUUUAUGCUUAGGAUUAGUCUCUUCAUCUCCUCCCCAUUUCUUUAAUUUCAAAAUCUCUCCCUCAUUUUAAAAUCUUCUUUGCUUGUGUUUGUUGAUUUCUAAACUUUGACCAUAUUGCAAACUAGAAACUUUGGCUUUAUGCCAUUGCAUUUUUAAAAUCUUUUCUUAAUCAAACUUAUAAAUAAAUUUAACUAUAUUUGACUUAAAAUUUCAAAAAAAAAAAGUCAAAAAGAACUAACACUCAUUCAAACCAUUUUUAAGCCUCUUGUGCCUUUUAAACUUAAAAUUUUGUUAAAAGCAAUGCACUCACUUUGAAAUUGAUACCACGAACUACGAGGUUUUGAUCCCUCAUUUUUAUGUUGGUAUGUAGGCACAAGUCUGAAGGUCUUGUCAAACACAAAAAUAUAAUUAAUAAAUUAUUUUCUCAUCCCUCCAUUCUAUUUAUUGCAAACAUCAUUUAUUAAAAAAAACACAUAUGCACACAAAAAAGGGCUCUCUAGAAGUACCUAGGACACUUUGGGUGUUAACACCUUCCCUCUGUGUAACCAACCCCCUUACCUGUAAUCUCUGUCAUUUUAUUAGUUUUGAUUUGAAAACUUCUUACCUUUUGGGUUUUGUUCAUAUUUUUCUCUUUUCCCUUUUCCCUUGGAAAUAAUAAAAGCGCGGUGGCGACUCUUGUUUUAUUGACGUCUAGCUUAUCCAUAGCUUGAUGAUCAUGAAUUUACCGCUACAAAGUGAAAUAAAGCAAAAAUAAAAGCCAAUAAAAUAAAUAACAAAAAUUAAAUGUUAGGAGUUAAGUGCGGAAUUUAAAAGUUAGAAUGCAAAAAUUAAAAGUUAUAAGUUAGGUGCAUGAAUUAAAAGAAAAGUUAUAAGAGAAUUAAUAUCAAUAUUAGAUCUAAUAAAAUUCUAAUGUUAAACAAAUUAACAAAAUUGAAUUCCUACUUAUCAAACAAUAUCUAAUAUUAUCAAUAUCAAAUAAAAUCAAAUUUAAAUUCUAAAAUAAUGAUCAAUAUCAAAUUAAAAUCCUAAUAUCAAAACAAUAUCAAAAUCAAAUCAAAUUAGAAUUAUACUAUCAAACAAUUAUUAACAUCAAAAUCAUUCAAAACAAUUAAUAAAAUAAAAUGUCAAAAUAUUAUUCAAAAACAAAUAUCAUUAUCUAAUCAAAAUUUUGGAUCCAAGCAAUGCAGUAUGGGCCCUAGAUCAACUUCUAAGACCAAACAGGGGCGUCCAGCGAUGAAAAAUAGAGUACUGGAGGAAAUUGGGCGCUGAGGCCCAAUCCAAGGCCCACCGGCCACAGUCUUCACCAACAGGGGGUGCAAGAAUAACAUAAGGGUGCAAAGUAGUAGCCCUAUGGGCUUUGGCCCAAUUUGCUUCCUCAAAGAAGAUCCAUCUUCAUUCUCACGUGCCAACUCACCCUAUCCCCUUUCAAAUAUUCCCUCUAAACACUGACCGGCGAACCAAGCCUCCGCCGCACCGGAGAUCACCGCCGGCAGCGGCGGAGCUCCAAACAUGAAAUCUAGAUACCGAAACGGUCCUCUCCACCUCACGGUCCCGAAUCUCCAAACCACAUCUCCUAAUUCUAAACUCACCAGCCGAAUUACAACCGAACACGCACGAACCCUAAGCUACUCUAUCAACAAUUAAGCUCUAUACAUCAGAAAUCAAACACCAACAUGCUAGAGCUUCGAUCUCCCUAACCUGAUACUACACCGGGGCAAUCGAAUCAAAGAAUGAGCGCAUGACUUGAGUAAAUUACCUGCUGGAGACGACGACGGAGACAGCGACGGUGAUGACACCAAUCACAGGUACAACUCUUCUCUUCUGCUCCUCUUACUUCUGAAACUUGCUUCGGUUCAAUAGUCCAAGCCUGAGAGUGAAGUGGUAAUCGAGUGUUGAAGCUUCCAACGAUGGUUUAGCUUAGCCGUGUAGAGCUUCGAGUGAUGAAGCUUCCACAAUGAUGAAAAUGAGUGUGUACUGGGGGUUGGGAAUGAUUGCAGGAUUCUUUGGAUGAGAAAAAUUCUGACCCCAAUGAUUGUCAAUGUUUGCCUUACUUAUAGCGUAAUUCAAGAGGGUAAUUUGGGGAAUUAUCUUUGAGUUGUUACGCUUUGAUUUAUCCAGCUGGCAAAUG
rnacentral:lncRNA from 1 species